AAGUCGUAACAAGGUUUCCGUAGGUGAACCUGCGGAAGGAUCAUUAUUGAAUUUAAACAAAGGGUAUUUAGGUUGUAGCUGGCUCCAUUGGUUUGGAGCAUGUGCACACCUUUUGCUCUUUUUUUAAUCCACACACACCUGUGAACCUGUGAGGCAGAGACAUGGAUGGGAGAACAUUUAUUCGCUUUAAAUUGAAUGAUUGGGACCCCUACCCCCCUCUGUCUACUCAACUCUAAUAUAAACCCAAUUUAUUUUAAAAUGAAUGUAAUGGAUGUAACGCAUCUAAUACUAAGUUUCAACAACGGAUCUCUUGGCUCUC
rnacentral:misc_RNA from 1 species